rnacentral:rRNA from 1 species
CCUACGGGAGGCAGCAGUGAGGAAUAUUGGUCAAUGGACGAGAGUCUGAACCAGCCAAGUAGCGUGAAGGAUGACUGCCCUAUGGGUUGUAAACUUCUUUUAUAUGGGAAUAAAAUGUUCCACGUGUGGGAUUUUGUAUGUACCAUAUGAAUAAGGAUCGGCUAACUCCGUGCCAGCAGCCGCGGUAAUACGGAGGAUCCGAGCGUUAUCCGGAUUUAUUGGGUUUAAAGGGAGCGUAGAUGGAUUGUUAAGUCAGUUGUGAAAGUUUGCGGCUCAACCGUAAAAUUGCAGUUGAAACUGGCAGUCUUGAGUACAGUAGAGGUAGGCGGAAUUCGUGGUGUAGCGGUGAAAUGCUUAGAUAUCACGAAGAACUCCGAUUGCGAAGGCAGUUCACUGGACUGCAACUGACACUGAGGCUCGAAAGUGUGGGUAUCAAACAGGAUUAGAUACCCUUGUAGUC